CGCAGAUUGACCAGUGGGGCUCUUUGCAAAAUCAUCUUUGCUGAGUCACGUCACGCAGAUUUCCUUCUUCAGCAGACACUCUGCUGGCUUCAGCCAAGGGGGAUCCUGGAAACUUAUUCCCUCAACUAGAUACUCGCUUCACCAAGGGAAAAUGCACUGUAAAAAGUAGUUAUGAAACACACGUCCAAUUUUCAAAUACCUCAGCUCAGUUUCCAGAGGUCUUCUCCACUCCACGCAUACCCAGAAGCAGGGCAGAAAAUCAUCUGACUCCCAAGGACAACGACCACCUGAACUAUCCAUCAUGCUGUGACACGAAGGAAUGGGUCAUCUAUGAAGAGCAAGAUAAAAUAGAAACAUACAGUGUUAUGGCUUGUGUCUAGAUGCACCCCCCAAAGCCUCAUGCGGGCAUAGGUGGGGCUUUUUCAGAGGUGGCUGAAUCUAGAGUGUGUAAUGCUGGCAUUAAGGGUGUGUGAUCACUAAAUCGGUCUACUGAUUGGUUUGGCACUGUCCUAUUCCCCAGUAACCUGGAUAAGAUAAAAGGUGCAGAAAGACAGUUAUGGUCCCUUGUUUCUUUUGCUGUCUUCUGCUUGCCAUGAACUUCUCCUCUGUGAUGCCUCUCUGCCAAGGCACCCUGCCUUGGAGUGAGCCGAUUAUGGACUGGAACCUCUAUAAACUCUGAGCUAAAUAAACCUUCCCCCCUUUAA